rnacentral:rRNA from 1 species
UACAGAGGUCCCGAGCGUUGUUCGGAUUCAUUGGGCGUAAAGGGUGCGUAGGUGGCGCCGUAAGUGGGGUGUGAAAUCCCGGGGCUUAACCCCGGGACUGCAUUCCAUACUGCGGUGCUUGAGGACUUGGAGAGGAGACUGGAAUUUACGGUGUAGCAGUGAAAUGCGUAGAGAUCGUAAGGAAGACCAGUGGCGAAGGCGGGUCUCUGGACAGUUCCUGACACUGAGGCACGAAGGCCAGGGAGCAAACGGG